rnacentral:lncRNA from 1 species
UUCACAUAUAUUUAUUUCCACCAUUUUCUAGCACAUUAAUCUUAUUUUAUAUGGUACAUGGUACAUAUAUAUUUUGCAUGUUGUUCUUGGUGACAUUCUGAAUUUCAUUGAACCGACAACAGUUGUGGAGAAUCGCGACAAAGAACAACUUCUAACGACAUAGAUGGUCUCAGAUCACUUGUUCUCCAGUCACAAACAAUAUCAGGAGCUCAUCAAAUUCAGGUAACCAGAGAGACAUAGCAUUUGUUUGCAUAUUCAGAACUGAGAAUGUUUCCCUCUACAAUGAUAGCACAUUAGUGACAAAUGAGCUUACAAGAGUGUGAUUCAACACAACAGAAGAACAACAUGGCAGUUUCUAAUUUGGAGUGCAAGAAUCCAAGCUUAGAAUUCACAUUAGGAAGACCACAUUGGGAUGGCAAAGAGCAAGCGUAACUAAACUUGAUUUGUUUCCUUCUUUUGGGUUUUGUUUUGGAAUUUUAUUUAUAAACCAUGGUGACAACUUCAUCAUCUUUUAUGAAAUGUAGAGCUGAUUAUUUAGAUAAAUAUAAAUUGGUGUCUAGGAGAUGAAGAAAAGACCCUUUCUAGUUCUGCUUCGGGAAGUGUUUUCAGUUCAUGACAGUUUUGUUCACAUUUUAUAUUUUUUUAUUUAUCGGAGAGGAUAAGGUAACAAUGGGAAAUUAUGAUGUAGCAACAAGGCUUUAUGAACCAAGAUGAUGCAUAUGCAAAUGUACAAGAGCGAAGGAGGGAGAGAGAUUGAAAAUUGUAAGUGUAGGAAAGGAAUAAACAAGUUUAAUCAUAUUUUUUGUUCACCUAGAAUGUUUUCAUUUCUCUCCUUUUCUUCAUUUUUUUAGGUUCUCCCUCUUCUAAUUACGUAAAUAUAAUAAAUAAUCUGCAUUUAAUUGAAAAAAUAUAUAGCAAGCUUUUGUAUAUAUAUAUAUGUAUACUCCUAAAUUUCAUAAUCACCUAAGUAAUGUGUAGUUAUGUUAAAUACUUAAAGAAAAAGUUUUGUAAUCUACAUUUAUCCUUUUAGAUUGGAGCAAAAUAGAUCAAUAGUAUAUUCCUUUAAAAUACUUAAUGUAGUUACAUUUUUAAUAUAAAAAACUUAGUCACUUGACAAAUCACUAAAAUCUCAUUCCAACCAUAUAGUCACUAAAAUCAACUGCUAUUGAAAAGGAAAGGAAAGGAAAAGCGAAAUCAAUACCCCGAUUGGGGUCGGGUCCAUUCAGCCAUGGACCUUUAUUUAGACUCAAAUGAAGUUUUAUAACCAAAACCAACUCAAUUGAAUCAAAAUAUGCAUUAAUAAGAAUUGAAAUACGAAACCAAAAUAUGCAAAUCCUCAAAAUCCAAAUAAAAUCAUCAAAUUCACAUAAACCAUGGAAGCAUGAAACUUUAAAAACAGUACUAAACAACAUGCAGAUGCCCUCUGUUUCAAAAACGUUCAAUGUUGAAAACAUUAAACAGAACAUCCACACACUUGGCAUUGUUGGCUAAAAGCGUGAAAACAGAGAAAUGGGUUCCGUAUCAAACCUCAAAAAGGAUUGAACUUUGGGAAGAAAUGGAAACGGGGUGUCACUUCCUAUCACCGCCUACGCUAGCAUGACACUAACGCUUCCUCUUCCACUUCUCGCGUUCUCAGCCCCAAUCCUAGCAGAGCUAGAACAGUCGUUCUUCGAACAUGAACCCUAGCAUAUCUAGAACACUCUUUCUUCGAACAGGAAAUUGUGACAAAAAGUGAAUCAAAACAUCAGUCAAUCGAAAUCAGAAACGCAGCGUUUCAUUUAGAGCGUAAAUGACUAAAUUACCGACGUCCAGAAUGUGAGUUGUCAAAUGAAUGUCAUUUUCUCUAACGGUGCCAAAGUAACAUUUCUGUUUUCA